rnacentral:rRNA from 1 species
GUGGGGAAUAUUGCACAAUGGGCGCAAGCCUGAUGCAGCGACGCCGCGUGCGGGAUGACGGCCUUCGGGUUGUAAACCGCUUUCAGUACAGAAGAAGCCCUUUUUGGGUGACGGUAUGUGCAGAAGAAGCGCCGGCUAACUACGUGCCAGCAGCCGCGGUAAUACGUAGGGCGCGAGCGUUAUCCGGAAUUAUUGGGCGUAAAGAGCUUGUAGGCGGUUUGUCACGUCUGCUGUGAAAGCCCGGGGCUUAACUCCGGGUGUGCAGUGGGUACGGGCAGGCUAGAGUGCAGUAGGGGAGACUGGAAUUCCUGGUGUAGCGGUGAAAUGCGCAGAUAUCAGGAGGAACACCGAUGGCGAAGGCAGGUCUCUGGGCUGUUACUGACGCUGAGAAGCGAAAGCAUGGGUAGCGAACAGGAUUAGAAACCCUAGUAGUCC